rnacentral:tRNA from 1 species
GCAUUGGUAUUUUAGUGGUAGAAUUCUCACCUUCCAUGUGGGAGACUCAGGUUCAAUUUCCAGGCAAUGCA